AACGAACGCUGGCGGCAUGCCUAACACAUGCAAGUCGAACGAGACCUUCGGGUCUAGUGGCGCACGGGUGCGUAACGCGUGGGAACCUGCCCUUAGGUUCGGAAUAACUCCCCGAAAGGGGUGCUAAUACCGGAUAAUGUCUUCGGACCAAAGAUUUAUCGCCUUUGGAUGGGCCCGCGUUGGAUUAGCUAGUUGGUAGGGUAAAAGCCUACCAAGGCGACGAUCCAUAGCUGGUCUGAGAGGAUGAUCAGCCACACUGGGACUGAGACACGGCCCAGACUCCUGCGGGGGGGAGCGGGGGGGAAUAUGGGAAAAUGGGCGAAAGCCUGGCCCAGCAAUGCCGGGGGGAUGAAGGAGGCUUUGGGGUUGUAAAGCUCUUUUCCCGGGGAGGAUAAUGACCGCACCGGGAGAAAAAGCCCCGGCUACCCCCGU
rnacentral:rRNA from 1 species